rnacentral:rRNA from 1 species
UACGUAGGGUGCGAGCGUUAAUCGGAAUUACUGGGCGUAAAGCGUGCGCAGGCGGCUUUGCAAGUCAGAUGUGAAAUCCCCGGGCUCAACCUGGGAACUGCAUUUGUGACUGCAUGGCUAGAGUGCGGCAGAGGGGGAUGGAAUUCCGCGUGUAGCAGUGAAAUGCGUAGAUAUGCGGAGGAACACCGAUGGCGAAGGCAAUCCCCUGGGCCUGCACUGACGCUCAUGCACGAAAGCGUGGGGAGCAAACAGG